rnacentral:rRNA from 1 species
UAGGGAAUCUUCCGCAAUGGGCGAAAGCCUGACGGAGCAACGCCGCGUGAGUGAUGAAGGUCUUCGGAUCGUAAAACUCUGUUAUUAGGGAAGAACAAAUGUGUAAGUAACUAUGCACGUCUUGACGGUACCUAAUCAGAGAGCCACGGCUAACUACGUGCCAGCAGCCGCGGUAAUACGUAGGUGGCAAGCGUUAUCCGGAAUUAUUGGGCGUAAAGCGCGCGUAGGCGGUUUUUUAAGUCUGAUGUGAAAGCCCACGGCUCAAACGUGGAGGGUCAUUGGAAACUGGAAAACUUGAGUGCAGAAGAGGAAAGUGGAAUUCCAUGUGUAGCGGUGAAAUGCGCAGAGAUAUGGAGGAACACCAGUGGCGAAGGCGACUUUCUGGUCUGUAACUGACGCUGAUGUGCGAAAGCGUGGGGAUCAAACAGG